ensembl:snoRNA
CUGCAUGUUAAAAAAAAAACACAGUUCUGCUCCUUAUUCCCUUAAGGAGCAUGAAUAUAUCUAUAACAUGCUACAGAAAACAAGGAGUCUUCAGGGCUGCCAGUCUUCAAGUAAAGGCUGAGUGGUAGUAUAUGCCUCCUACAUUU